rnacentral:tRNA from 1 species
UCCCUGGUGGCUCAGAUGGUAAAGCGUCUGCCUGCAAUGCCAAAGACCCGGGUUCAAUCCCUGGGUUGGGAA